rnacentral:rRNA from 1 species
UGGGGAAUAUUGGACAAUGGGCGAAAGCCUGAUCCAGCCAUGCCGCGUGUGUGAAGAAGGUCUUCGGAUUGUAAAGCACUUUAAGUUGGGAGGAAGGGCAGUAAAUUAAUACUUUGCUGUUUUGACGUUACCGACAGAAUAAGCACCGGCUAACUCUGUGCCAGCAGCCGCGGUAAUACAGAGGGUGCAAGCGUUAAUCGGAAUUACUGGGCGUAAAGCGCGCGUAGGUGGUUCGUUAAGUUGGAUGUGAAAUCCCCGGGCUCAACCUGGGAACUGCAUUCAAAACUGACGAGCUAGAGUAUGGUAGAGGGUGGUGGAAUUUCCUGUGUAGCGGUGAAAUGCGUAGAUAUAGGAAGGAACACCAGUGGCGAAGGCGACCACCUGGACUGAUACUGACACUGAGGUGCGAAAGCGUGGGGAGCAAAACAGGAUUAGAUACCCUGGUAGCCCACGCCGUAAACGAUGUCAACUAGCCGUUGGGAGCCUUGAGCUCUUAGUGGCGCAGCUAACGCAUUAAGUUGACCGCCUGGGGAGUACGGCCGCAAGGUUAAA